rnacentral:rRNA from 1 species
AUUGAACGCCGGCGGCAGGCCUAACACAUGCAAGUCGAGCGAGCGGCGGACGGGUGAGUAAUGUCUGGGAAACUGCCUGAUGGAGGGGGAUAACUACUGGAAACGGUAGCUAAUACCGCAUACCAUCAGAUGUGCCCAGAUGGGAUUAGCUAGUAGGUGGGGUAACGGCUCACCUAGGCGACGAUCCCUAGCUGGUCUGAGAGGAUGACCAGCCAAACUGGGAAUGAGACAAGGUCCAGACCCCUACGGGAGGCAGCAGGGGGGAAUAUUGACCAAUGGGCGCAAGCCCGAUGCAGCCCUGCCGGGUUUGUGAAGAAGGGCGUCGGGUUUUAAAGCACUUUCAGGGGGGAGGCGUUACCCGCAGGAGAAGCCCCGGCUAACUCCGUGCCAGCCGCCGCGGUAAUUC